UACGUAGGGUGCAAGCGUUGUCCGGAAUUAUUGGGCGUAAAGAGCUCGUAGGCGGUUUGUCACGUCGGAUGUGAAAAUCCGGGGCUUAACCCCGGACCUGCAUUCGAUACGGGCUGACUAGAGUUCGGCAGGGGAGACUGGAAUUCCUGGUGUAGCGGUGAAAUGCGCAGAUAUCAGGAGGAACACCGGUGGCGAAGGCGGGUCUCUGGGCCGAUACUGACGCUGAGGAGCGAAAGCGUGGGGAGCGAACAGG
rnacentral:rRNA from 1 species